rnacentral:rRNA from 1 species
CUGGCUCAGGAUGAACGCUGGCGGUAUGCCUAACACAUGCAAGUCGAACGGUCUUGAAAGA